UACGAAGGGGGCUAGCGUUGUUCGGAAUUACUGGGCGUAAAGCGCACGUAGGCGGACAUUUAAGUCAGGGGUGAAAUCCCGGGGCUCAACCCCGGAACGGCCUUUGAUACUGGGUGUCUUGAGUUCGGAAGAGGUGAGUGGAAUUGCGAGUGUAGAGGUGAAAUUCGUAGAUAUUCGGAAGAACACCAGUGGCGAAGGCGGCUCACUGGACUGGUAUUGACGCUGAGGUGCGAAAGCGUGGGGAGCAAACAGG
rnacentral:rRNA from 1 species